rnacentral:miRNA from 1 species
GUCCGACUGGUUACAGGAAACAGAAACUCCAGUUCCGCGUGGAGUUUCUGUUUCCUGUAACCGGCCGGAC